rnacentral:lncRNA from 1 species
UGCUGCUACCUUUCCACAAACAGGAAUGCCAGGGAGCCUUCCCAAGAGCCAUCCUGAGGAUGUGGCCCCUCAUUUUAAGGUUGCUACCUGCUGAUCUCCAAGUCAUAAAUGGAGGACUGUAACACUGAUUGUGGAGAACCAUGCAGUGCUCCAGAAAGAAUGGUAGAGUGGAAUACUCGCCAGUUACUAAAGACAACAUUGCACACAUAUGCACAGUCCUGCCUACAAUUCUUCCUUUUUUUCCUUUCCUCUUUCAUGGUCAUGAACAAAGAGGCAAUUAAGAAAACUCUCAAGAUGGAAAAUGCCAAAAGUAUUGUCUCUCCUCCCAGUCUCUUGGGACACAGCUUUCGGGGGUGCUGAGAGCAUUUGAGAAGGGGUUGGCCACAUCGAUAACCUCUGUCCCCAACAAAUGUACAUAAUCAUGCCACAGGUAGAUGUGAAGAAGUAGCUUAAAGCAAUACCACCUCUUCCCCUAAGACCAGGAGCACAGGGCCGGAGUAACCAUCCCUUGCCUUGUUCAACACGUUGCCAGGACUGAAACACGGUUACAGUUAUGAGGCUAAGGUCAUGGUUAUAUUGGGUAUGAGCAGCUGACAGAGGGAGAGGAAAGCAAAGGGGAAUAAAUGUCAAGAAAACAAAGCAAAACAAACCAGAUCAAACAUAACCAACUGGAAACCAGCCCAGAAUGAGAGCAGAGAUUACAGAGUUUUAAAGACACAGGCUGGCUCCAGCUUCCUUUUGGGAUACAGUCAGUAGAAAGAGCAUUGCUCUCUCCCAUAUAAAAAAAAACUGGACACUUGACAAAUUCCUAACUUCUUUCAAAAAUUGAGAGAACUAAAAAAAAAAAAAAAAAAAAAAAAAAAAAAAAAAAAAAUUGAGAGAACUGAGGUCAUACAACAACCAACUAACCCAAAAUGGAAGGAAAGACAGGUGUCUGCAAGUAAAGGCAGGACAAAGUGCACUCACUGACUCAGGGAAGACAUCUCUGGAUGUAAGAGAAUUCAUCUAAAACAAUUAACAAAUUAGUAAAGACCUAGUACAGGUUGGCUAGAGAAUAGAGAGUCCCUGGGGCAGCAUAUAACAGGGAUUUGUACCCACUUGUAGGCUUUUCUACUGGAGAGAAAGAUUGGCAAGGGUCAUGAGAAAUCAUCCCUUGAGGCUCAUGCCCAAAAGGAAAGAGCAGCCCCAAGCAUGGAAAGCCCUGCCCAAAACAGAUGCCUUGAGACAGCCAAAGCCUUACAAGCACUGGGGAAGGACAACAAACUGUCCCUUAGACCACAUCAAGACUUCCUCAGACCCUAGGAAUUUCUGCCUUUGUGAGACUCUUCCAAUUGUGUUGGUGUAAAGAUGAUUAUCAUUCAGGCUGAAUACGUUAUUCUAUAUCCAUUACUAUUACAUUCAUUUUCUCUUAUCGCUUUAAAUAAUUAAUAUUAAAGCAUUUGUGGGGACUCUAAAAAGUACGAUGGGCUCCAGACGCUGUGCUUUACUAGGACUAAUGGGGAAAAGCCCUCCAGGCCUCAGUGAGAGGUAGACCUAUAGCUGAGGACCAGGCAGGAGCACAGGGAGGGAUAUGCUAGAUGCCCAGGGACACAGUACCAACUAAGACUGAGCCUUCCUGAGAACCAUAGAACUCUCCAUCUCUGAACAUGACCAGCCUCCGGAUCUAGCUACUGACAGUGGCACUAGAGCAAAAACAGGGAGAACACCCCCCCACCGCCCCACACUCCCCUCACACCCCACACCCCCACACUCCCCUCACACCCCACACCACCACACUCCCCUCACACCCCACACCCCCAUACCCCCACUCCCCCCCCACCCCCCCCCCCCCAGGAAAAGGGCAAACCGCAGGAAGGAGAACAGGUCAGUGGUUCACAGGGGGUGGGGAUGGCAAACUAGUGGGGAGAGGUGUUGAUUCCAAAAGAGCAGCAUGACAGAGUCUUUAGGGGUAAUGGAACUGUUCUUUAUCUUGAUUGUGGCUGUGGACACAGAAUUCUAUGCAUUUAUCAAAAUGAACAAAGGAAAAAAGAGCUAAACAAACAACAAUAACAACAACAAACCCACACUCAAAAACAAAGAGCAAACUGGUGGUUGCCAAAGGGGAGGCUGGUGGGGAGAUGGGUGAAAUAGAUCAAGGGGAUUAAGAGGUACAAACUUCCAGUCACAAAAUAAGUAAGUCACAGAGAUGAAAAGUACAGCAUAGGGAGUAUAAUCAAUAAGAUUGUAAUAAGACUUUUUGGGGACAGAUGGUAACUACUUAUCAUGGUAAGGAGUCGUGCCUAAAAUUGUUGAAUCAUUACGUUGUACACCUAACUCUGUACAAUUAAUUAAAUACUUCAAUUUUAAAAACAGCAUACACCAAAAAGGAAAUUUAACUAUAUGCAAAUAAAUAAAAUUUAAAUAGUAAUAUCUAGAAAUGCAUUCA